rnacentral:sRNA from 1 species
CUUCUACCAAGGUUCGAUUCGAGCGAAAGCGAGAAAGCUUUGCCGCAGGCAACGACCCGAAGGGCGAAACGCGCAGCGCUGAGUCAUCCUUCCCCCACCACCA